rnacentral:Y_RNA from 1 species
GGCUGAUUGGAGUGCAGUGGUGUUUACAACUAAUUGAUCACAACCAGUUACAGAUUCCUUUGUUCCUUCUCCACUCUCACUGCUUCAUUUGACUAGCCUAAA